GACGAACGCUGGCGGCGUGCUUAACACAUGCAAGUCGAACGGAAAGGCCUGCUUUCCCUUGUGGAUUGCGGGUACUCGAGUGGCGAACGGGUGAGUAACACGUGAGUGAUCUGCCCCCAACUUGGGUAUAAGCCUGGGAAACUGGGUCUAAUUCCCGAUAGGACUGCAGGGUGGUUCCUGUGGUGGAAAACGAUUUUCUAGUGGUUGGGGAUGAGCUCGCGGCCUAUCAGCUUGUUGGUGGGGUAAUGGCCUACCAAGGCGGCGACGGGUAGCCGGCCUGAGAGGGUGGACGGCCACAUUGGGACUGAGAUACGGCCAAGACUCCUACGGGAGGCAGCAGUGGGGAAUAUUGCACAAUGGGGGGAAGCCUGAUGCAGCGACGCCGCGUGGGGGAUGACGGCCUUCGGGUUGUAAACUCCUUUCGACCGAGAGGAAGCCACCUGGUUGGAAGGGUGGUGACGGUAGUGGUAGAAGAAGCACCGGCUAACUACGUG
rnacentral:rRNA from 1 species